GCGAAAACUUUACAAUGCGGGAAACCGCGAUAAGGGGACACCGAGUGCCAGCAUCCUAUGUUGGCUGUCCAUAUGUAUAAAUAACAUGUGUUAGCAAGGGCCGGGCAAGACCGGUGCCAGCCGCCGCGGUAACACCGGCGGCCCGAGUGGUGGCCACUAUUAUUGGGUCUAAAGGGUCCGUAGCCGGUUUGGUCAGUCUUCCGGGAAAUCUGACGGCUUAACCGUUAGGCUUUCGGGGGAUACUGCCAGGCUUGGGACCGGGAGAGGUAAGAGGUACUACGGGGGUAGGAGUGAAAUCUUGUAAUCCCUGUGGGACCACCAGUGGCGAAGGCGUCUUACCAGAACGGACCUGACGGCAAGGGACGAAAGCUAGGGGCACGAACC
rnacentral:rRNA from 1 species